rnacentral:rRNA from 1 species
GACGAACGCUGGCGGCGUGCUUAACACAUGCAAGUCGAACGGAAAGGCCCUGCUUUUGUGGGGUGCUCGAGUGGCGAACGGGUGAGUAACACGUGAGUAACCUGCCCUUGACUUUGGGAUAACUUCAGGAAACUGGGGCUAAUACCGGAUAGGAGCUCCUGCUGCAUGGUGGGGGUUGGAAAGUUUCGGCGGUUGGGGAUGGACUCGCGGCGUAUCAGCUUGUUGGUGGGGUAGUGGCUUACCAAGGCUUUGACGGGUAGCCGGCCUGAGAGGGUGACCGGCCACAUUGGGACUGAGCUACGGCACAGACUCCUACGGGAGGCAGCAGUGGGGAAUAUUGCACAAUGGGCGGAAGCCUGAUGCAGCAACGCCGCGUGCGGGAUGACGGCCUUCGGGUUGUAAGCCGCUUUCGCCUGUGACGAAGCGUGAGUGACGGUAAUGGGUAAAGAAGCACCGGCUAACUACGUG